UUCUAGUAGUUGGAGUGGAUGUUGUUUCUGAAUAAAAAUGUUUUUUUUUUCAGGAUCCGUUUUCAAAUUUCAUUACAAAUUUUAACGUAUUCAAUUCGAGGGCCAGUUUCUCAAGUGGCGACCCUAUGACUGGCCAUAUCUCCUUCGACGUUAAGAGAGUAACAAACGUUACGUCAAUUUUCAUGUCAUUAAACGGGAAAGCCGAAGUUCGUUGGACAACUCGUACAAGACGUCGUCGUAGGAGUCGAACACAUACGCAUAAAGCCGAAAUGGAUUUGUUCACGGUCAUCACAGGAAACAAUGCGAUUGGUCGUACAGUACUUCAAGAAGGGGCUCAUGUCUACCCCUUUACAUUCCAGUUGCCACAAGGGUAUGAACGCCUUGACUAUUAUGUAGGCAAUCUUAACACCCCUGCUAUAAUAUAGUCUUACAAACACAAUUGAAGAUAAAGACAACGUCUUGAAGAUAAUCGGAAUAUAUAAUCCAUAAAGUAUAUAUAAUCCAUAAAGUAUAUUUCUGCAGAGACUUCCCAUCCACAUUCAAAGGGGUACAUGGCCUGUGGUCUACUUCCUGAAGGUUGAGAUACACAGAUCAUGGCAUAUAACCAAGGUGUUUGAAACCAAAUUCAACUUUUCAAGUCACAUUGAUGCCAACCACCCACAGCUUCUGGUAAGUGUUUGAUAAGUCAUCCACAUGAUUGUUCAUUAACGCUUUUUACAUUUACCCAUUUAGCAGAUGCCUUUAUCCAAAGCGACUUCCAAGAGAAAGCUUUACAAAAAGUCCAUAGGUCAGAUAGGUGCAUUGUUACAUAUAUUUAAACCUUGAUUGAACAACAUGAGUACACUGAAAUAACCAGACACUGUUGAUACUAAAUUGACCUUUCACCUAAGGGGAAACCAUUAAAAUCGUGUGUGAGUUCAGCAACUCUUCAUCGAGGAGUACCACUCCGAAUGCAACUCUCGUGCAGAACCAGAAGUAUUCCGCUUUGGAUCACUCCGUAAAGACAGAGCGCAAGACCCUGGAUUCAGUAACAGGAGAGCCUGUGAAGAGUGGGACCCUGCAGGCCUACAGUGAAAUGACGCUGACCAUCCCUGAUACAUCUCUCUCCAUCUCCAACUGUUCCAUCAUUGAUGUGAACUACAAUGUGCUUGUGACUUUGUCUCCACGCCGGUCCUGGAAAAUUGUGGUGAUCUUUCCAAUUGUGCUGUGUGAUAUUCCUGUUUCUGCACCAGCGUGUCAAUAAUGAUGGAGAAGCUCUCCUCAGUUUGUGGUUUUCAUUUUUCAGGUUUAUAUUAUUGUACAUUCAUGCCUAUUUAUACCUAUAUGUUCAGACAUUUUGUCAAACAUCUAUAUUUGUUUCAGUAUUACUUUAACACUCCUACUGUUAGCCAUGAUAUACAGUGCCCUCCAAAAGUAUUGGA